CCUACGGGAGGCAGCAGUGGGGAAUAUUGCGCAAUGGGGGCAACCCUGACGCAACGAACGCCGUGUGAGGGAAGAAGGAUUCGGGUCGUAAACCUCUGUCGGGAAGGAAGAACCUCCUGGGUCCGAAUAGGGUCGGGACUGACGGUACUUCCAAAGGAAGCACCGGCUAACUCCGUGCCAGCAGCCGCGGUAAUACGGAGGGUGCAAGCGUUAAUCGGAAUCACUGGGCGUAAAGCGCGUGUAGGCGGCUUUUUAAGUCUACGUAAAAACCCUCGGCUCAACCGCGGAAUUGCGUUCGAUACUGGGAGG
rnacentral:rRNA from 1 species